GAUGAACGCUGGCGGCGUGCCUAAUACAUGCAAGUCGAGCGAACGGACGAGAAGCUUGCUUCUCUGAUGUUAGCGGCGGACGGGUGAGUAACACGUGGAUAACCUACCUAUAAGACUGGGAUAACUUCGGGAAACCGGAGCUAAUACCGGAUAAUAUUUUGAACCGCAUGGUUCAAACGUGAAAGACGGUCUUGCUGUCACUUAUAGAUGGAUCCGCGCUGCAUUAGCUAGUUGGUAAGGUAACGGCUUACCAAGGCAACGAUGCAUAGCCGACCUGAGAGGGUGGUCGGCCACACUGGAACUGAGACACGGUCCAGACUCCUACGGGAGGCAGCAGUAGGGAAUCUUCCGCAAUGGGCGAAAGCCUGACGGAGCAACGCCGCGUGAGUGAUGAAGGUCUUCGGAUCGUAAAACUCUGUUAUUAGGGAAGAACAUAUGUGUAAGUAACUGUGCACAUCUUGACGGUACCUAAUCAGAAAGCCACGGCUAACUACGUG
rnacentral:rRNA from 1 species